rnacentral:rRNA from 1 species
CCUACGGGAGGCAGCAGUGAGGAAUAUUGGUCAAUGGACGGAAGUCUGAACCAGCCAUGCCGCGUGCAGGAAGACGGCUCUAUGAGUUGUAAACUGCUUUUGUACAAGGGUAAACCUGAAUACGUGUAUUCAGCUGAAAGUACUGUACGAAUAAGGAUCGGCUAACUCCGUGCCAGCAGCCGCGGUAAUACGGAGGAUCCAAGCGUUAUCCGGAUUUAUUGGGUUUAAAGGGUGCGUAGGCGGAUUGAUAAGUUAGAGGUUAAAUGUCCGAGCUUAACUCGGGAACUGCCUCUAAUACUGUUGAUCUAGAGAGUAGAUGCGGUAGGCGGAAUGUAUGGUGUAGCGGUGAAAUGCUUAGAGAUCAUACAGAACACAGAUUGCGAAGGCAGCUUACCAAUCUAUAUCUGACGUUGAGGCACGAAAGCGUGGGGAGCAAACAGGAUUAGAGACCCCGGUAGUC